AAAUUCCAUUUACGCCACAUCUUUGAAAGCGAUUAAAAUUCCCGCUCACAACUAUAAUGCUACAAAACACUCUUAAAUUGCAAAUCAUCCGACUUUUUUUAAAAUAAAAACAAUCUUAAUUGUUUUAACGCUUCAAAGUUCCAUUAAUUCGCUGUGAAUUAAGUGACAAAGGAAGGAAAAUGCAUUUGGAAUCAACAGCUUAGAUAUGUUAUGUCUAUUAACUUGUAAGCAUUUUAGGCGGGAGUUCAUUUCAAAAGGUUAUGUUUACUUAAGCAUUUUGGUACAUGACGUCAUUUCAAAAUAAAUAAAAUUAAUACAUAGGUAAAAAUGAUAAUUUUAUUAAUUUACGAACAGAAGGAAAUAC